rnacentral:rRNA from 1 species
CUUUCUCCGCCGGCGACCGGCGCACGGGUGAGUAACACGUAUGCAACCUGCCCCUGUCAGGGGGACAACCGCCGAAAGGCGGGCUAAACCCGCGUACAUGCCACCGGGGCAUCCCGGAGGCAGGAAAGGCUUCGGCCGGACAGGGAUGGGCAUGCGGCGCAUUAGGCAGUAGGCGGGGUAACGGCCACCUAACCGACGAUGCGUAGGGGUUCUGAGAGGAAGGUCCCCCACACUGGUACUGAGACACGGACCAGACUCCUACGGGAGGCAGCAG